GUUCUAUUAGAUAAUGCCAGGAACAACAUAGAAUCACUGUGUAUAAAUUUGUUUCCUUCCUUCCUUCCUUCCUUCCUUCCUUUCUUUCUUUUUUCUUGAAGUCAGGGUUUCUCAGUGCCUUCCUGGAUGCCCUGAAACUCACUCUGUAGACCAGGAUAACCUUGAAGUCAGAGAUCUGCCUGCCUCUGCCGCCUGAGUGCUGGGACAAAAGGUCCCUCUGCAGAGAAAGGAAGGAGAACAUGGUGACUGGGAUAUUAUUUUCCUACCCAGGUUUUCACAAUAGAAGCAUCUUGAGAUCACUUCUCGGUUGUAGGACAUUUCGACAGCCCACAACACAAGAGACACCACAGCUAUCCUGCCCACAGUAACUCCAGCUGGAAGGGGAGGUGGGCAGCAGAAACACAAGCUUUACCCCCACUG
rnacentral:lncRNA from 1 species